GACGUAGGGCGCGAGCGUUGUCCGGAUUUAUUGGGCGUAAAGAGCUCGUAGGCGGCUUGUCGCGUCGUCCGUGAAAACCUGCAGCUCAACUGCAGGCUUGCGGUCGAUACGGGCAGGCUAGAGUUCGGUAGGGGAGACUGGAAUUCCUGGUGUAGCGGCGAAAUGCGCAGAUAUCAGGAGGAACACCGGUGGCGAAGGCGGGUCUCUGGGCCGAUACUGACGCUGAGGAGCGAAAGCGUGGGGAGCGAACAGG
rnacentral:rRNA from 1 species